GCUGGCGGCAGGCUUAACACAUGCAAGUCGAACGGUAGCAGGAAGAAAGCUUGCUUUCUUUGCUGACGAGUGGCGGACGGGUGAGUAAUGCUUGGGAAUCUGGCUUAUGGAGGGGGAUAACUGUGGGAAACUGCAGCUAAUACCGCGUAAUCUCUGAGGAGUAAAGGGUGGGACCUCUUGGCCACCUGCCAUAAGAUGAGCCCAAGUGGGAUUAGGUAGUUGGUGGGGUAAAGGCCUACCAAGCCUGCGAUCUCUAGCUGGUCUGAGAGGAUGACCAGCCACACUGGAACUGAGACACGGUCCAGACUCCUACGGGAGGCAGCAGUGGGGAAUAUUGCGCANUGGGGGGAACCCUGACGCAGCCAUGCCGCGUGAAUGAAGAAGGCCUUCGGGUUGUAAAGUUCUUUCGGUAAUGAGGAAGGGAUGUUAUUAAAUAGAUGGCAUCAUUGACGUUAAUUACAGA
rnacentral:rRNA from 1 species